CCCGGCCCCCGCGCGGAGACGGCUGGCGUGAAGUAAGAUGCGGUCGGGUCCUGGGCCUCGCGUGAAGCGGCCGGCUCGUGACCGGGAUGGAGCCUCCGGCCUCGGGUUCCUGAGCGGCUCUUUCGACGCGCACCGAUUUCCCAGCGAUGGUUUCCUGCUGCUGGCUCUGCUGCUCUACGCCCCCGUGGGGCUCUGUCUGCUCCUCCUGCGUCUCUUUAUUGGCAUCCACGUAUUCCUGGUCAGCUGCGCCCUGCCUGACAGCCUGCUCCGGAGGUUAGGGUUUAUCGUGCGUGUGAUGUGUUCGGUGCUGGGUCUGUUUGUGCGGCAAAGUGACCCCCAUCUCCGGGAUGCCAGUGUCAGGGUUUAUAUUGCCAACCACGUGACGCACUUCGACCACAGUGUCAUCAACCUACUGACCUCGUGCAAUACCCCUGCGCUGAAUGGCACGCCGGGUUUCAUCUGCUGGUCGCGGGGAUUCAUGGAGCUGGGGGCGGUGGGGAGCCGGGCAGAGCUGAUAGAUUCCCUGAAGGUGUAUUCGUCCCAUGGGGGGAACCCACCUCUGCUGCUGUUCCCAGAGGAGGCAGCCACUAAUGGCCGAGUUGGCCUUCUUCGCUUCAGCUCCUGGCCAUUCUCAAUCCUGGACAUGAUUCAGCCUGUGGCUCUGCAAGUUCAGAGGCCCUUAAUUGCUGUGAGUGUGGCCGACUCCUCCUGGAUCACAGAGCUGCUCUGGACCUUCUUUAUUCCCUUCACAGUUUAUCAAGUAAGGUGGAUGCCGCCUGUCUUCAGACAAGCUGAUGAGCCGAAUGAGGAGUUUGCGCUCCGAGUUCAGGAGCUCUUGGCCAUGGAACUGGGUGUGGUUUCUACGCGACUCACUGCUGCGGAUAAAGCCGAGCAUAUGAAGAGGCUGAGACACACCCCACCUCACCUCUUUGCCUCAGCCUCAAGCCAGUCCUUGGUUGCCAGGCCAAGGGCAUCGCCUAGCGUGGCUGGUGUCGCACCUCUUGCUCCUGAGGACGUGCGGAUCAUGGAGAUGGCCCAGCGGGUCAAGGAAGUGCUCCCACAUGUAACUCUGGGAACCAUCAGGAGAGACCUGGCCCAGACCAACUGCGUGGACACUACCAUCGCCAACCUCCUGGAGGGCCAGGUGCCCCUCCUCCCUGAGGACAAGGAUCCGGAGCCUGGCCUGCUUGCUCCGUCAACGUCCCAGACUCCAGCGGCCUCUAGCUCUCAGUGCCCUGCAGCUUCAUCCUCCUCCAAGCCCUCUGUGAAGCUCUUUGCGAAGUCCCCUGUGGAGAGGCAUUUGUCCCUGCAGGAGCGGAAACAUGUGCUGUAUGCCUACGCCAGGAGGAAUUAACUGUCCGCCACCUGACUACCAGGAUAGUCUGGCUAUCGCCUCAGCUUGGAAGGUCAGCAAGCGCUGAGUCCUUCCGAGUUCUUCCAUAGGGACAUGGUGGUGCUGAAACUGUGCCCAGGUUCCACCCUAUGGUGGUCUCAGAAUUCCGCCUGACCCAGUCCGUUACCUACCCGUCGUCUGCAUGCUUUGCACAUUGCAAAAGCUGUGCUGUUACCCAACAGUCCAGGCCUUUCAGGGUUCCUCUUUGUGGCCGUAUCACAGAGCAUCUCCAAGUGGAACACACCAUGCAGAGCCACCUGCUUUCAGCCGCCUAGGGAGGCUUUCCCUCCAGAUGGCCAGGCACACUCCACUAGGGAACGAGCAGCAGCACCUGCCUGCUUCCAGACUGCUGCACUCUGCAAGGCAGCUGGGUUAAAUGUUGUGCUCUUGCUAAGGCAGCUGGCCACAUGCCAAGUUCAGGAAAGCAGAGCUGACGUCUGUUCGAUUGGCUCACCCUCAUCGUGCAGAGAGGGUGCUGCUUGCCAGCCACCCGAAGAGGGAUCCAUGCUGACACGGAGCCAAAAAGCAGAGAGCUGUUACUUACCCCCCAGGGAGUGGUUCCUCGUGACCUGUUGCUGCUCUCGCAGUCCUCAGCCAUCUGGGCUUUGGAUUGCGAGGGGGUGGCAGGAGGGUUGUGGCCACAUCUUGAGGAACCACGGUGCUGUAGGGAGAUACACGGAGAAAUAUGGGAUGCCGCGGGGUGAUGGGAGCCACUGAGGCGCAACUCACCCUCCUGCCUGUAGCGUGCGCAGGGCUCGGGCCAUUGGGAGCGUGACCUCAGCAUGGCCGUUUUGCAUGAUUCACAGCACUGCAGUGGGAUCCCAAAGCCUCUGAACCAGUACGCUUGAGAUGCAGCGGGGCCUUCGUGGCGUGUGCCAGCCCAGGCAGGCAGUGCUGAGCUGCCCACGGUGGGGCAAUAAGUGCCUGUGUUUCCCCACAUCACACCCGAGCUGCCUCCGGCGAUCCACAUGGAGUUGGAGAGCUGAAACUGGGCUGCCAAUGGGGGACAGGACUCCGCAUCAGCCUGGGCCGGCUGCCUCCACUUGGGCUGUUGUUAAACUGGGCGAAGGGGGUUUCUUCUCAGCCACAAAAAAUAAAUCUGACUCUAUUAUG